rfam:Claviceps purpurea 20.1, WGS project CAGA01000000 data, contig: scaffold00006
GGUUGAGUAGUGUAGUGGUUAUCACGGAUCCUUCACAUCUCAGCGAUCGGAUCAGAUCCGGGUUCGAUUCCCGGCUCGACUA